AGCACUUUAGCCCAGUGGUAGAGCGUCGGACUCAUAAACACAAAAGAUUAUGAAUUCCGAAGGACGUAAGAUCGAAACUUACAUGUGCUA